rnacentral:rRNA from 1 species
GAUGAACGCUGGCGGCGUGCCUAAUACAUGCAAGUCGAGCGAACGGACGAGAAGCUUGCUUCUCUGAUGUUAGCGGCGGACGGGUGAGUAACACGUGGAUAACCUACCUAUAAGACUGGGAUAACUUCGGGAAACCGUAGCUAAUACCGGAUAAUAUUUUGAACCGCAUGGUUCAAAAGUGAAAGACGGUCUUGCUGUCACUUAUAGAUGGAUCCGCGCUGCAUUAGCUAGUUGGUAAGGUAACGGCUUACCAAGGCAACGAUGCAUAGCCGACCUGAGAGGGUGAGCGGCCACACUGGAACUGAGACACGGUCCAGACUCCUACGGGAGGCAGCAGUAGGGAAUCUUCCGCAAUGGGCGAAAGCCUGACGGAGCAACGCCGCGUGAGUGAUGAAGGUCUUCGGAUCGUAAAACUCUGUUAUUAGGGAAGAACAUAUGUGUAAGUAACUGUGCACAUCGUGACGGUACCUAAACAGAAAGCCACGGCUAACUACG